rnacentral:rRNA from 1 species
UACGGGGGGGGCAAGCGUUGUUCGGAAUUACUGGGCGUAAAGGGCUCGUAGGUGGCCAACUAAGUCAGACGUGAAAUCCCUCGGCUUAACCGGGGAACUGCGUCUGAUACUGGAUGGCUUGAGUUCGGGAGAGGGAUGCGGAAUUCCAGGUGUAGCGGUGAAAUGCGUAGAUAUCAGGAGGAACACCGGUGGCGAAGGCGGGUCUCUGGGCCGUAACUGACGCUGAGGAGCGAAAGCGUGGGGAGCGAACAGG